GAAAGAGUAAUACGUAAAUCCAUAAUGGAGAUACGGAAAUAAGAAAUAGUAAUUUGCACUGCAGGAAAAAAAAACAAAAAAAAAACAAUUCGUUAGUCUUGACACCGGGUUUGAAUAGCACAUACUAAUAAUUAACGUUCCUUGCGACGGCUGAUUGUGAGACUCGUAGACGCCAGGGCAAAGGUAUUUACUGUGUUUCACAACGAUGUGUGUGUAUGUACGUUAUAGGCAUCACAUGUGGGUCGCGAACCGCACAAACACGUGCCUUGAAGGCGAAGAACGGUGGUCCAUCGCUGGUUUGUUUUGCGUUCUUAUCACGGCGCCGCGUGUACGCAAGAUGCGCGCUGAAUUAGGAGUUGGAACAUUUGCGCAGAAUUACCACAUAAUUAAGUUACAACUUGUACUUGCCGAUGGGAUAACAAGCUGUGGAGGCCGGAUAAGGAGUCUGCCGGUGAAAGGAUGAGAAACGGGUAUCGCGGAUUGUAUGACAAUUAGCGAGCUGUAAUAACCACGUGGAAAAAACAUAUUCUUGUGAAUUUCAAUUUGCCAAAAAUGUGCCGUGUGUAAAAUACUUACUUUUUACAUCGUCAAAAUAAACGUGCAUGUGUUUGCUUUGAAAAGAAGAUGCGGAACCGCGAUGGUUUAUAUCAUGUAACGUUACUACUAGAAGACUAAAAAAAAAAAUGAAACGAAUGAAAAAACGUUUACUCCGUGUAACCGAUGAGAUAAGCAGAAUGGAUAUAUAGGUUUUGGUUGGCUUGGAUGACACAUAUGGUGUUUGUUUCGGGACCAAAGAAAGGCGGGCCAAGAUCGAGUACGGAUGAUAAUUGACGAAGGUACAUAAUAUAACAUGGACAUGGAACCUCCUUGUACUUGAUAAACUGCCUGUGUCUCGAUAGAAAUCUGAAAGGAGCCAGACCACAGCAUGUCGUGUUGGUCAGCGUUCCGAAGCCUUGACUAAA
rnacentral:lncRNA from 1 species